rnacentral:rRNA from 1 species
AUUGAACGCUGGCGGCAGGCCUAACACAUGCAAGUCGAACGAGUGGCGGACGGGUGAGUACUGUCUGGUAAACUGCCCGAUGGCGGGGGAUAACUACUGGAAACGGUAGCUAAUACCGCAUUCCAUCGGAUUUGCCCAGAUGGGAUUAGCUAGUAGGGGGGGUAACGGCCCACCUAGGCGACGAUCCCUAGCUGGUCUGAGAGGAUGACCAGCCACACUGGAACGGAGACACGGUCCAGACUCCUACGGGAGGCAGCAGUGGGGAAUAUUGCACAAUGGGCGAAAGCCUGAUGCAGCCAGGCCGCGUGUGUGAAGAAGGCCUUCGGAUUGUAAAGUACUUUCGGCGAGGAGGCGUUACUCACAGAGGAAGCACCGGCUAACUCCGUGCCAGCAGCCGCGGUAAUAC